UUGAAUGUCUGCUGCUCGCUCUUGAUGAUGCUCAUGCUAGCCAUGCUGUGAACUUGAAUAUAAACCGCUGUAUGAAGUUUAACGUUAAUUAGACCGAGGCUGCCGAAAUCAUGUUCAGUGUAUGUGGGAUUAAUAAUUUCCCCUUUUCUCCCUCAAGUGGCAGGCUUGUAAAUUCUGUCAUCUGUUCAUUAUUGGUGUUGAUGGUGUUUUUCACAUGCACGCUUUUUAAUGCUAGUUUAAUUCUCAAAUUGAUCUGAUACUUUCCUUUCACAAAAAGUAAACAACUUGUUCACUUUUUUAGGGCCUGACUGCCACCAGUUGAGUCAAUGAUUCAGUGAAGAGACAGUUUGGGCAGCAGCAACAAGACAACUAUUACAAGUAGAGAUGGGUUUCAAGAACUGGUACUAAUUUGGUUCCUGACUUGUUCGACACAACCACAUAUCAUCCAAAUCAUCUCCGAGUGGAUGGCAGCAAGGAUCCAGGAUCAAGA